AAAAUGCAGAAGUAUAAAUACAAAUUUACUUUUAUUUUUAAAUAGAAAUAAAAAAUAUAUAAUAUUAAUAUGAUAAUUAAUAUGCUGUACUUGUUUAGAGGAAUCCCUCUGUACAGACUCAUCAGAGAUUCUCACACUGGAAGCUGAGGAGCCCAGUACAGACCCCCUGGAUAAUGCCCUGGAGUUCAACAGACAGCUCCAUGUCUCUCUGCAGAAAAAACAGGAGGAAAUCUCGGCCUUAAAGGAGAAGAACGCUCAGCUGAAGGAGUUAGCCAAGCAGGCCGAGCAUUACGCUAAAAUAAUGGGCGUAAGUGUUUCUUGCGUUUACUUUGACAGACAGAACGAACC
rnacentral:lncRNA from 1 species